UAAGAAAUCGAUACAGCAACAGGUGGCGGCGCAUGUGGCUGAAAAGAGAAGGCGAUAUAUUUCCAAAAUGAACAUGGCUGCUGAAUCAUCACUGGAGACCUCCACCGACGACAGAGUAAAGCUGUUAGGACGGGAACAGCUGCUUGCAGGUAAGUAUUUUUUAGGUUGAUGUUUAUGCUUAUAUUUAUUUUCAGGUCGAGGUACUUACCUAGACUCCAUGGGAUGCAGGUGGCCGCGUUGAGUUUUUAGGUGCGUCUGGAAUAGAAGAAUGUGUUGCGGCUGGCGGCAUUUGUAUGGCAGGUGAAUA